UCCCUGUUGCCAGGGCAGUCUCCUGUGAAAAAUCCAACACAGGACGAGGGUUUCGUUCGUUCAAGGACUUAACCUCACAGCUCACGCCACGAACUGACGACGACCGUGCAAUACCUGUCUUACGGCUCCCUUGCGGGCACUCCCCCGUUUCUGGGGGAUUCCGUAGAUGUCAAGCCCGGGAUAAGGUUCCUGGGUUGCUAUCCAAUUAAACCACAUGCUCCACCGCUUGUGCGAGCCCCCGCCAAUUCCUUUGAGUUUUAGCCUUGCGGCCGUACUCCCCAGGCGGUCAACUUAACGCGUUAGCUUCGCAACCGAGAGGGUCGACUCUCCCAAUUGCUAGUUGACAUCGUUUACAGCGUGGACUAA
rnacentral:misc_RNA from 1 species